GACGAACGCUGGCGGCGUGCUUAACACAUGCAAGUCGAACGGAAAGGCCCUGCUUUUGUGGGGUGCUCGAGUGGCGAACGGGUGAGUAACACGUGAGUAACCUGCCCUUGACUUUGGGAUAACUUCAGGAAACUGGGGCUAAUACCGGAUAGGAGCUCCUGCUGCAUGGUGGGGGUUGGAAAGUUUCGGCGGUUGGGGAUGGACUAGCGGCUUAUCAGCUUGUUGGUGGGGUAGUGGCUUACCAAGGCUUUGACGGGUAGCCGGCCUGGGAGGGUGACCGGCGACAUUGGGACUGAGAGACGGACCAGACGCCUACGGUAGGCAGUAGUGGGGAAUAUUGCACAAUGGGCGGAAGCCUGAUGCAGCAACGCCGCGUGCGGGAUGACGGCCUUCGGGUUGUAAACCGCUUUCGCCUGUGACGAAGCGUGAGUGACGGUAAUGGGUAAAGAAGCACCGGCUAACUACGUG
rnacentral:rRNA from 1 species